ensembl:lncRNA ITGA9-AS1 ITGA9 antisense RNA 1
CGGCCCGGGGACCGGCCUCCGCCGCGGGCUCUGCCCGCUCGCCUGCUCGCCUGGUGGGGGAGAGGGGAGCGGGGCCGACACAGGACUGCAGUUGACAGCAGAUAACUGAAAGCUCGGAAAGCGAAACCGUGGAUAAGCAGGGGAACUGUGGCAUCCCAUUUAAAAUUGCUUCUAUGGAUGGAGAUGCAGAAGUUCAGCCCUACGAGGUCCAUGAUUAAUUAGCUGAGCAGAGGCCAGCUCAGUAGCGCACCUCCUGUUUGCUCUCCCUCUUUCUUUGCUGCACACCCCUUUCUCCCUCACUUUUGCUUCCCUGGGAUUGCAUUCCCAAUAAAGUGUUCAUACAUAAA